rnacentral:rRNA from 1 species
AACGAACGCUGGCGGCAUGCCUAACACAUGCAAGUCGAAUGAGACCUUCGGGGCUAGUGGCGCACGGGUGCGUAACGCGGGGGAACCUGCCCUUAGGUUCGGGAUAACUCCCCGAAAGGGGUGCUAAUACCGGGUAAUGUCUUCGGACCAAAGAUUUAUCGCCUUUGGAUGGGCCCGCGUUGGAUUAUCUAGUUGGUAGGGUAAAAGCCUACCAAGGCGACGAUCCAUAGCUGGUCUGAGAGGAUGAUCAGCCACACUGGGACUGAGACACGGCCCAGACUCCUACGGGAGGCAGCAGUGGGGAAUAUUGGACAAUGGGCGAAAGCCUGAUCCAGCAAUGCCGCGUGAGUGAUGAAGGCCUUAGGGUUGUAAAGCUCUUUUACCCGGGAUGAUAAUGACAGUACCGGGAGAAUAAGCUCCGGCUAACUCCGUG